rnacentral:rRNA from 1 species
GACGAACGCUGGCGGCGUGCUUAACACAUGCAAGUCGAGCGAGGCCCCUCCUUCGGGAGGGUGUCCUAGCGGCGAACGGGUGAGUAACACGUGGGCAACCUGCCCUCAGCUCUGGGAUAACUCCGGGAAACCGGGGCUAAUACCGGAUACGACCUCCACGGGCAUCUGCGGAGGUGGAAAGUUUUUCGGCUGAGGAUGGGCCCGCGGCCUAUCAGCUAGUUGGUGGGGUAGUGGCCCACCAAGGCGACGACGGGUAGCCGGCCUGAGAGGGCGACCGGCCACACUGGGACUGAGACACGGCCCAGACUCCUACGGGAGGCAGCAGUGGGGAAUAAUGCGCAAUGGGCGAAAGCCUGACGCAGCGACGCCGCGUGAGGGACGAAGGCCUUCGGGUUGUAAACCUCUUUCAGCAGGGACGAAGCGAAAGUGACGGUACCUGCAGAAGAAGCACCGGCCAACUACGUG